UACGGGGGGGGGCAAGCGUUGUUCGGAAUUACUGGGCGUAAAGGGCUCGUAGGUGGCCAACUAAGUCAGACGUGAAAUCCCUCGGCUUAACCGGGGAACUGCGUCUGAUACUGGAUGGCUUGAGUUCGGGAGAGGGAUGCGGAAUUCCAGGUGUAGCGGUGAAAUGCGUAGAUAUCUGGAGGAACACCGGUGGCGAAGGCGGCAUCCUGGACCGACACUGACGCUGAGGAGCGAAAGCGUGGGGAGCGAACAGG
rnacentral:rRNA from 1 species